rnacentral:rRNA from 1 species
UACGUAGGGGGCAAGCGUUGUCCGGAAUCAUUGGGCGUAAAGAGCGUGUAGGCGGCCAGAUAAGUCCGCUGUGAAAUCUCGAGGCUCAACUUCGAGCUGUCGGUGGAAACCGUAAAGCUAGAGUCCGGAAGAGGAGAGUGGAAUUCCUGGUGUAGCGGUGAAAUGCGCAGAUAUCAGGAAGAACACCCGUGGCGAAGGCGGCUCUCUGGGACGGUACUGACGCUGAGACGCGAAAGCGUGGGGAGCGAACAGG